UACGUAGGGGGCAAGCGUUGUCCGGAUUUAUUGGGCGUAAAGAGCGUGUAGGCGGUCAGGUAGGUCCGUUGUGAAAACUCGAGGCUCAACCUCGAGACGCCGAUGGAAACCAUCUGACUAGAGUUCGGUAGGGGAGACUGGAAUUCCUGGUGUAGCGGUGAAAUGCGCAGAUAUCAGGAGGAACACCGGUGGCGAAGGCGGUCUCUGGGCCGAAACUGACGCUGAGGAGCGAAAGCUGGGGAGCGAACAGG
rnacentral:rRNA from 1 species